AACAGAUUUACUUCGGUAAUGACGUUAGGAAAGCGAGCGGCGGAUGGGUGAGUAACACGUGGGGAACCUGCCCCAUAGUCUGGGAUAGCACUUGGAAACAGGUGCUAAUACCGGAUAAGAAAGCAGAUCGCAUGAUCAGCUUUUAAAAGGCGGCGUAAGCUGUCGCUAUGGGAUGGCCCCGCGGUGCAUUAGCUAGUUGGUAAGGUAAAGGCUUACCAAGGCGAUGAUGCAUAGCCGAGUUGAGAGACUGAUCGGCCACAUUGGGACUGAGACACGGCCCAAACUCCUACGGGAGGCAGCAGUAGGGAAUCUUCCACAAUGGACGCAAGUCUGAUGGAGCAACGCCGCGUGAGUGAAGAAGGUUUUCGGAUCGUAAAGCUCUGUUGUUGGGUGAA
rnacentral:rRNA from 1 species